CUCUGCUCUAGCUUUUGUGGAGAAAUGUGUGUUAGUUGUUCAGUCAUGUCCGACUCUAAGACCCCAUUGACUGUAGCCCACCAGACUGCUCUGUUCAUGGAAUUCUCCAGGCAAGAAUACUGGAGUGGGUUGCCAUUACCUUCUCCAGGGGAUCUUCGUGAUCCAGGGAUCAAAUCCAGGUCUCCGUCUUUCAGGCAGAUUGUUUACCCAAAUGAACACUGAUUCACAACGCUGCAAGUCUAAAAUGGGAACUGUGGACAUUCUGCUGCUGCUGUGUCCGACUCUGUGCAACCCCAUAGACAGCGGCCCACCAGGCUUCCCCGUCCCUGGGAUUCUCCAGGCAAGAACACUGGAGUGCGUUGCCAUUCUGGAAGAUGCUAAAAGAAACAUUCCUCUCUCUUUCAUUCUUCACUCCCUCUUUACUCUUCACUACUCUUCAAGGGCAGAGGAGGGACCACCUGACAUGCCUAGGAAAAUUCAAGGGUUUGAGUUGGUCCAUGAUAUAAGUGAGCUGAGAAGAGCUAUCUUUUAUUCUUCCUCACAUGGCAGGAGGAUGAAACAAUGUUUUAUCUUGGCCCUGGGAGAUUUGAAGCCCAGACACAAAAGAGAACAGAGGGAAAGAAAGACACCAGCUUUGGCAGAUCUGAAGCAUUAUUCACAAUAGCCAAGAUAGGAAACAACCUGAAGAUUCAUCAGUGAAUAAAUGGAUAAAGAAGAUAUGGGAUAUGCAUUCACUGGAAUAUUAUUCAGUCACGAGAAAGAAGGAAAUCCUGUCACUGACCACACUUGAAUGGACCUUAAGGAUGUUGCAGUAAGUGAAGAAUGUAGAAAGUCAGGUGAAGGAGCAGGAACUCAACCUCAGACCUCGCCUCCACCCUCAGGUGGAGCACAAAUACUGUCCUGCGGGAGGAGCUGAGAGGAAGUGACAAGGACAGUCAGGACGGAGGGUUCUCCAGAUUCUGUCCUCACCACCUCGCUGAGCGGCCUGGGAUGAUUGCUUAACCUUCAGGACAGUUUCCUCCUUGGGCUAGAUCAUCUCUAAGGUCACUUUCAGCACUAACAUUUCAUGAUUUAAAAAAAAAAGACAACAGGGCCCUUUUUCUUUUCUUUCCCUAGAUUUGCAUUUUUAUUACAUAUUCACCUCAACCA
ensembl:lncRNA